rnacentral:rRNA from 1 species
UAACACCUGGAAACAGAUGCUAAUACCGGAUAACAACAGAUGAUGCCUAUCAACUGUUUAAAAGAUGGUUCUGCUAUCACUCUUGGAUGGACCUGCGGUGCAUUAGCUAGUUGGUAGGGUAACGGCCUACCAAGGCGAUGAUGCAUAGCCGAGUUGAGAGACUGAUCGGCCACAUUGGGACUGAGACACGGCCCAAACUCCUACGGGAGGCAGCCAGUG